UACGGGGGGGGGCAAGCGUUGUUCGGAAUUACUGGGCGUAAAGGGCGCGUAGGCGGUCAGCACAAGUCAGUUGUGAAAUCUCCGGGCUUAACUCGGAAAGGUCAACUGAUACUGUGCGACUAGAGUGCAGAAGGGGCAACUGGAAUUCUCGGUGUAGCGGUGAAAUGCGUAGAUAUCGAGAGGAACACCUGCGGCGAAGGCGGGUUGCUGGGCUGACACUGACGCUGAUGCGCGAAAGCCAGGGAGCGAAGCGGG
rnacentral:rRNA from 1 species